UGAAGGUAGGGCCUCACCUGUCCCCCUCUGCCCAGGAGACCUUCUGCCUCCUGCCGCCAUCCAUGACACACAGGCUGCUUGCAGUAAGGGGCACCUGCAGGCCAGUGCCCAGCCACCCUCAACCCUCCACCUUCAGCUUCAGCCGUAACUUGUGUUUGUUAGUGCCCAAAGUCUGGAGGGGGCUAAGGCAGCAAAGGGCUGGUGUGUCCAUGCUGCCCCAUGCAUGCAGUGUGCACAUACCUGGCGGGGCUGUGACAGCACCUAGGCUUGGUCCCAACCCUGCUCUGAGAUUGGAGCAGGUGCCAGGAGUGGAGAGAGGCCAGGCAGCAGGAGCAGGCACC
rnacentral:lncRNA from 1 species